UACGUAGGGCGCGAGCGUUAAUCGGAAUUACUGGGCGUAAAGCGUGCGCAGGCGGUCUUUUAAGCCAGAUGUGAAAUCCCCGGGCUUAACCUGGGAACUGCGUUUGGAACUGGAAGGCUAGAGUACGGCAGAGGGGGGUGGAAUUCCACGUGUAGCAGUGAAAUGCGUAGAGAUGUGGAGGAACUCCGAUGGCGAAGGCAGCUCCUUGGGCCUGUAUUGACGUUCAUGCACGAAAGCGUGGGGAGCAGACAGG
rnacentral:rRNA from 1 species